rnacentral:rRNA from 1 species
ACACGUAUGAAAGACAAGCUGAAAGACUUUUCUCAAUGAUGUAAGUGGUGGUGCAUGGUCGUUCUUAGUUCGUGGAUUGAUUUGUCUGGUCUAUUCCGAUAACGAGCGAGACCCCAACGUUCCUACUAGGGGGGGCUGCCCGGCUCGCCGCAAGGCUUGUUAGCAGCUGCCUAAGAUGCUUCUUAGACGUAUCAGAGCCGAUAAGGUUCUUGAAAUGGGUUAAUAACAGGUCAGUCAUGCCCUUAGAUGUUCUGGGCCGCACGCGCGUUACAAUGGCAUACAAAGAAAGUGCUCUCAAGGGCGUCUCCGGGGCCGAAAGGUUCUGGUAACCCUUAAUCUCUCCCUUGACUGGGACAGACUAUUGCAAUUAUUGGUCUCCAACGAGGAAUUUUUAGUAGUCGCAGGUCAUUAACCUGCGACGA